AUGGAUUUACAAUGCUACAAUGAGUUUGCAGCUUUGUUUAUGCUUCUAAGAUUUGAUUUAUUCAUAAUAUAUUCUAAACUGAGCAAAAAGUUUGCAGCUUUGGGUUCUCUUAACAAACUUAUUGAAGGAUGUGGAACAUCAAUAACAGUAACUAUUAAACAUAUAGCAAGCAUGUUUUUCGAUUUUUCUAUGUCGGUGUUAUUUAAGUGUUAUUGA